AUGCCUUUCUUGGAUGUGCAAAAAAGGUCUGGCUUUAACAUAGAUUGAUGGAUGACAAUCCAAAGUGCUGAACAGCCCUACAAGAUUCCUGCUCAAUGCCAUGGGUUUGAAAAAGAAUGGAAAGAAUGUACAUAAGGAAUCCAUAGUAUCCGGGCAGAGAAAGAGUGCAAGAUAAAAUUUGAUGAUUUCAUAGUGUUUGUUUUGGCAGGAAACAAUCAGACGUGUGAGUACCAUCCAGAAGCAGCAGAACAAGCUAGUAAAGGAAGGGUAAUAUACCUCUCCACGUCACCAAUUCGGCAAGGGGAUACUAGGCCCUGA
rnacentral:lncRNA from 1 species